CCAUGAUUGAUUGACACUAGUUAAUAUAGAUAAUAUAAUAUUUAGGUGCUCUUAGGCAGCUUGCGGUUUGUAGGGGGUCCUGCGCAAUGGGAUACUGUGAACCAUGUCAGGUCCGAGAGGAAGCAGCAUUAAGCGGGACAUCUCAUGUGCCGCAGAUUCGCCUCCUACCGGCCGCAAGGUGUCUAAGAGCUAAAUUUCUAUAUGGACCCAAACCAUGG
rfam:Mogibacterium pumilum strain ATCC 700696 genome.